rnacentral:rRNA from 1 species
UACAGAGGGGGCAAGCGUUGUUCGGAAUUACUGGGCGUAAAGGGCGCGUAGGCGGCCCGCUAAGUCGAACGUGAAAUCCCCGGGCUCAACCCGGGAACUGCGUCCGAUACUGGCAGGCUUGAAUCCGGGAGAGGGAUGCGGAAUUCCAGGUGUAGCGGUGAAAUGCGCAGAUAUCAGGAAGAACACCCGUGGCUAAGGCGGCUCUCUAGUACGGUACUGACGCUGAGACGCGAAAGCGUGGGGAGCGAACAGG